AACUUUGUUUCCUGGAGAUCUUAUUAAAUUGUAGAUUCUGAUUUAGAAAGUCUGAGGUAAGGCCUCAGAUUCUUUGUUUUAGCGAGCUUUCAGGACAUGAUGCU
rnacentral:pre_miRNA from 1 species